rnacentral:rRNA from 1 species
AUUGAACGCUGGCGGCAUGCCUUACACAUGCAAGUCGAACGGUAACGGGCCUUAGGGUGCCGACGAGUGGCGAACGGGUGAGUAAUACAUCGGAACGUGCCCGAUCGUGGGGGAUAACGAGGCGAAAGCGUUGCUAAUACCGCAUACGAUCUACGGAUGAAAGCAGGGGACCGCAAGGCCUUGCGCGGACGGAGCGGCCGAUGUCAGAUUAGGUAGUUGGUGGGGUAAAAGCUUACCAAGCCGACGAUCUGUAGCUGGUCUGAGAGGAUGAUCAGCCACACUGGGACUGAGACACGGCCCAGACUCCUACGGGAGGCAGCAGUGGGGAAUUUUGGACAAUGGGCGCAAGCCUGAUCCAGCCAUGCCGCGUGCAGGAUGAAGGCCUUCGGGUUGUAAACUGCUUUUGUACGGAACGAAAAGCCUUCUUUUAAUACAGGAGGGUCAUGACGGUACCGUAAGAAUAAGCACCGGCUAACUACGUG